ACACGCGCGCAACAAUGGUAGGAACAAUAGGAUGCAACUCCGAAAGGAGAAGCCAAUCCCCAAAAUCCUAUCCUAGUUCAGAUCGAGGUUUGUAACUCAACCUCGUGACGCUGGAAUCCCUAGUAAUCAGGCGUUAUCAGCGCCUGGUGAACAUGUCCCUGCUCCUUGCACACACCGCCCGUCAAACCACCCGAGCAGGGUUUAAAUGAGGCUUAAUUUUAAAUUAAGUCAAAUCUAGACUCAGCGAGGAGGGUUAAGUCGUCACAAGGUAGCCGUAGGGGAACCUGCGGCUGGAUCACCUCCU
rnacentral:rRNA from 1 species